rnacentral:rRNA from 1 species
GGUGAACGCUGGCGGCGUGCUUAAGACAUGCAAGUCGAACGGCAGUCUUCGGACUGUAGUGGCGCACGGGUGAGUAACGCGUAACUGACCUACCCCAAAGUCGCGGAUAGCGAUUCGAAAGAAUCGCUAAUACGUGAUGUGCUGUCAGAUUGUGUUCUGCCAGUAAAGAUUGAUUGCUUUGGGAUGGGGUUGCGUUCCAUCAGCUAGUUGGUGGGGUAAAGGCCCACCAAGGCGACGGCGGAUAGCCGGCCUGAGAGGGUGGCCGGCCACAGGGGCACUGAGACACGGGUCCCACUCCUACGGGAGGCAGCAGUUAGGAAUCUUCCACAAUGGGCGAAAGCCUGAUGGAGCGACGCCGCGUGAGGGAUGAAGGUCUUCGGAUCGUAAACCUCUGAAUCAGGGACGAAAGACACUUCGGUGGGAUGACGGUACCUGAGUAAUAGCACCGGCUAACUCCGUGCCAGCCGCCGCGGUAAAAC